rnacentral:rRNA from 1 species
AUUGAACGCUGGCGGCAGGCCUAACACAUGCAAGUCGAACGAGUGGCGGACGGGUGAGUAAUGUCUGGGAAACUGCCUGAUGGAGGGGGAUAACUACUGGAAACGGUAGCUAAUACCGCAUACCCUCAGAUUUUCCCAGAUGGGCUUAGCUUGUUGGUGGGGUAACGGCUCACCAAGGCGACGAUCCCUAGCUGGUCUGAGAGGAUGACCAGCCACACUGGAACUGAGACACGGUCCAGACUCCUACGGGAGGCAGCAGUGGGGAAUAUUGCACAAGGGGCGCAAGCCGGAUACAGCCAUGCCGCGUGUAUGAAGAAGGCCUUCGGGUUGUAAAGUACUUUCAGCGGGGAGGCGUUAACCGCAGAAGAAGCACCGGCUAACUCCGUGCCAGCAGCCGCGGUAAUAC